rnacentral:rRNA from 1 species
CAGUCGCCACGGUAAUCCGAAGGGGGCGAGCGUUGCUCGGAAUGACUGGGCGUAAAGGGCGCGUAGGUGGUACGGACAGUCAGAUGUGAAAUUCCCGGGCUCAACCUGGGGGCUGCAUUUGAUACGUCCGAACUAGAGUGUGGAAGAGUGUCGUGGAAUUCCCAGUGUAGAGGUGAAAUUCGUAGAUAUUGGGAAGAACACCGGUGGCGAAGGCGGCGACCUGGUCCAUUACUGACGCUGAGGCGCGAAAGCGUGGGGAGCAAACAGGAUUAGAUACCCCUGUAGUCCCUGUCUCUUAUAC